UACGUAGGAUGCAAGCGUUGUCCGGAAUUAUUGGGCGUAAAGAGCGCGCAGGCGGUCUAUCAAGUCAGAUGUGAAAUAUCCAGGCUUAACCUGGAGGGGUCAUUUGAAACUGGUAGACUAGAGUACAGCAGAGGAUAGUGGAAUUCCCGGUGUAGUGGUGAAAUGCGUAGAUAUCGGGAGGAACACCAGUGGCGAAGGCGGGUCUCUGGGCAGUAACUGACGCUGAGGAGCGAAAGCGUGGGGAGCGAACAGG
rnacentral:rRNA from 1 species